rnacentral:rRNA from 1 species
AGUGAACGCUGGCGGUAGGCCUAACACAUGCAAGUCGAACGGCAGCACAGGAGAGCUUGCCCUCUGGGUGGCGAGUGGCGGACGGGUGAGGAAUACAUCGGAAUCUACCUUUUCGUGGGGGAUAACGUAGGGAAACUUACGCUAAUACCGCAUACGACCUACGGGUGAAAGUGGGGGACCGCAAGGCCUCACGCGAUUAGAUGAGCCGAUGUCCGAUUAGCUAGUUGGCGGGGUAAUGGCCCACCAAGGCGACGAUCGGUAGCUGGUCUGAGAGGAUGAUCAGCCACACUGGAACUGAGACACGGUCCAGACUCCUACGGGAGGCAGCAGUGGGGAAUAUUGGACAAUGGGCGCAAGCCUGAUCCAGCCAUACCGCGUGGGUGAAGAAGGCCUUCGGGUUGUAAAGCCCUUUUGUUGGGAAAGAAAUCCUGUCGAUUAAUACUCGGUGGGGAUGACGGUACCCAAAGAAUAAGCACCGGCUAACUUCGUGCCAGCCGCCGCCGCGGUAA